GGCCGGUUAGCUCAGUCAGUAGAGCAUAGUGCUAACAACGCUAAGGUCACAGGUUCAAUUCUGUUCGGUCC
rnacentral:tRNA from 1 species